rnacentral:rRNA from 1 species
UACGGAGGAUGCAAGCGUUAUCCGGAUUUAUUGGGUUUAAAGGGUGCGUAGGCGGAUAUGUAAGUCAGCGGUGAAACUCACAGGCUCAACCUGUGCCGUGCCGUUGAAACUGUGUAUCUGGAAUGCGGAUGCUGUGGGAGGAAUGUGUAGUGUAGCGGUGAAAUGCAUAGAUAUUACACAGAACACCGAUUGCGAAGGCAUCUCACAAAGCCAAGAUUGACGCUGAGGCACGAAAGUGUGGGGAU